ensembl:lncRNA
CCGGCCGGUCUGGGCCGCGGGGCCGAGCCGCCGGCCAGGGGAGCCCGGGAAAGCGGGGUGUGGUGGGGGGGAUAGAGAGGUUUGAUGCCGCUCCUCCGCUUCCCGCUCGUUCUCGGGCGCUGCAGAAGGGCCUUUGCGGGGUGACGACCGCUCGCCGCCUCCCGGCGUAGUCGAGCUUCCCUCGCGCACGGCCCGCAGAGCCUUCGUAUGUAAUUCACCGCUGUGCCACUCACUGUACGUGGGCCCAGCAGAAGCUGUCAGGGGAGCCGGCAGGAGACGAGGGUCGGGUGUGAACGGGAACCAAAGGCACGGAGCUGCCGCAGCGCGCUGGGGGACGAAGUGCCCCCCCCGCCAAGGACGGCCGUCCCUUCGUCCUGCCCGUGCGCGGCGGCUCCGGGCCGCGUGUGGGAGCCCUCAGGAGUGGGGAACCGGCACCCGUCAAUAACGCCCCAAAGAGCCCCGAUGCCUUCAGGUUUGCCUCACUGUGGGUGCCCCAGCCCUGGAGGCGCUCAAGGCCAGCUUGGAUGUGGCGCUGGGCAGCCUGAGCUGGUGGGUGGCAGCCCUGCGUGUGGCAAGAGGGUUGCAGCUUAACAUCCCGUCCAACCUAAGGUGCAGAUCCAGUCUGUGGCAAGGUGAGAGCUCACCCUGCAAACAUCCACCUAAUUGUGCUUACGGCCAGCCUCGACCGCAACACAAAGCGCUGAUUUCCUCUAGUUUGCUGGAUGCUUUGGAAACCCGAGGACGGCGAGGAAGCCGAGUGUAUGUAAAUGUGAUUGCAGAGCGAGGUUUCUAAUUGUCUUUCUGAUUAUUUGGUCUUUUAAACUGCUCGAUGUGGUGUUUAAGCAACCCACAGCCGUUCAGAUCGCAGCGGGCUUUUAACACUGCGUGAUUCUGGUGGGUGCUUAAGGGAAACGGAUCCGGGAGCAGCCCCUGACACCGGCCGCCUCCAUCAGGUUUCAAGCCUCUGCAAGAUCCUGACUGCUAGGGAACAAAGGCUGGUAUGCGGUUCCCUCAAAGGUCAGUCAUUAACCUGCCCCAACAACAGUUUUAGGAAGAUCAAGGCAAUGAAGAAAAAAAAAUAUACAAGAAAAAGCACUUUCACUUCGGAAUGAAUUGUUGAAAGUGCCCUUAUACAUUCAGUUUUAUUCCCUUUCAGCUCCGCACUUUUUAGUUCCUGCACGUAUUUAUUUCUCAUCAGGAAUAAUGGCAAGAUUUGCUCUCCCAGAGAUUUGACCUUAAGUUUAUUCUACCCACAACACUAUAGACCAUUUCAUCAAUUAUGAAUGUACCCAUGUGUAUAGAGGAACUGGUAAGCCAGCUCAGUAAUACUACCUUGUUCUGGAGACUUACCCUUAUAAAUAAAUUAGGGGCAUAUCUUUAUGAAAAACCAAAGACAGAGAGAAAGAAAGACUGAAAGCAAGUAAGACAGAAAGCAAGAAAGGAAGGAAGGGAGAAAGAAAGGGAGAAAGAAAGAAAGGAAGGAAGGAAAAUCUAGAAAGCCACAUUUUUUUUUAAGAUAAAAGGGCAGUGGCUAGCAUCAAAAGUGUUUUCUCUGUGAUUUGUAUUUUGAAUGUCUGUGUGUCUAUAUAAAGAGAUAAAAUGCUGGAUAUGCAGUAGCCAGACUAUCAAUAAGACAGUUAUUUCCAUAAGUUAUUGAUGACCCUUUAGCUCACAAGUGACAGGCCAAAGUAGAGCCAUGAGCAACUUAUGAAAGGUCAUCAAUAACAACUGAAAAUAAAUGUUGUGUCCAGUGCAUGCCCACUGUGUGUCCUGUUUAUACAAUGCCAGUGUAAGUUUCUUGUGGUGUAGUUUUUAAUAAGCUGUAACAACCUUAGUCCCUGCCUGAAGCAGCGAGGUUUUCCGGCAGCAGAGGAAGGAGGAGGUGCACACAUUCCCAUGAGGCUGCUCACACUCCUCAUGAGUACUUUUUGUCAGAUGCAAAGGUAAAAGCUUGCAUCUCUCAGCACACCAGGAUGAAACAGGACCCUGGGGAGUGAAAGGAGAGACCACGCGCAUCACUAAAACAUUAAACACUGUGGACAAUCCUGGUGCUGCAGUGUAAGACUGCUCAGAAGUAAGAAGAUACAGAGGAGUCAGGGAGAGGAAAAAGGAGAAGCUGAGAUGCAGGGUUGUAAAUAAAUCAUACCCUGUGUUAAGAUUGCAAAUACAUAAUAUGCUAUUAAGGUAUUUCUAAUAGUAAUCUGUAUCAUGCUGCAAGGAGGAUUGAUGCACUGUGUGUGGUAAGAACAUUCUGGAGGCAAAAGAAAGAUCUUUCUGUCUACCUGGAGUCUUACUCCCCAUGGAAAGGCUGCAAUGGACACCGGAUGCGGUCCAGUGGGGAACAAACACUUAGUUUUACCUGCUUGUUGGCAGAUUUUGCUUUCAGUAACCAUCAUCCUGAAACUCACUGAUGUUUAAUUAAAGUUCUAUGUUUAAAA